GAUGGCUACUGUCCCAAGGGAUGGUUUGCUCAUGCUCAAUAUUGUUAUGAGUUCCAUACUCAUCCCAGUGAGUACAGACGGUGGUCUGAUGCCAGAGACGCUUGCGAAUUGGGUCAUAAUUCAAGUUCAUAUGGAGAAUUAGUCAGUAUACAUGACGAGUGAGUAUCAUAUUGCAUGUUGAUGGCGAGUAAAAGGCAAAUUAGGCCAACAACUCGAUCAAACUAUAUAUAGGCUGCGUCAUUGCCCCAACGUAAAACGGUCAACAUUUGUUCCCAAAGGAGUGUGGGUUAUAUAAUUGAUGACAUUGAUUGUCCUUUUGUGGUUAGCAGCCGGGUUCCUCUCUCCUCCACAGAGCCUCCUUAAGUAUUUACAAAUAACUUACAUGAAGUUUCCUGAGUUAAAGUGAGCGCACGCGGAGUGACGGGACGAUUGUAAUGAAGCCGAGAAGGCUCUUCCACAUAAUGGCAUUUUUUACAUCUUUUACACUUGAAAUGGACGGAAAUGUGGAAGAAAUAAUUAUCAUAAUCUGAGUAUCGAAGGUCAGUAGAGUCAUUUCUGUAAAGAAAUGUUGCAAUUUAGAGGAUAUUUAUUGUUAGAUAAGUUAUAUCCAUUUACAAUCACGUGCAAUUUCUCAAUAUUUUUCGGUGCAAAUGGACAGAAGAAGAUAUUGAUUUUGGAUUCUCUCCAGGAGACUCAAGUGCGCCUGAAAAAGAAAGUGGAAAACAUGUUUUAACACCCUCGAAGGUUGAUAUCGAACCGAACUCCAAACGAUUAUAUACGUCAUAUUGAUUGCAUUAACUACACGGCUAAAAACGAUCAGAUAGUUGCAAUGUUGGUGAAAACAGGAUUGAACAAUGUUUUGCUGCCCAUAUUGUUCACAGUUGUCAACAAUAUUGAACAAUAUUGUUACACCCGAUUCAGGCUCAACAAUAUUGUUCAAUAUUGUUGACAAGUGUGAACAACGUUGGCAGUAAAACAUUGUUCAAUCCUGUUAAACAGCGGGCUCAGCGUUUUUGGGCGUGUAGCAGAGGCUUCCAUUACUUCGCUCUUCCCAUCACUCCUUGCGCGCUCACUUUUCAGAAACUUCAUGUAAGCAUCUGCGGAGGAGAGAGGGCGGGUUUGGUGUAUCCCUGAUGUAUCGUUCGUAACUGCAUGCCGUUGAGUGCUUUCAGGAAUGCCGCUUCCAGUGAACUAUAUAAAUACUGGAACGAUGACGCCAGAUAAAAGGCCCCAUGAUUGGUUGAAGUCAUCACGACGGCCAAUAGAGCUAGUGAUCUCUUGUGGGUUUAAAACACGUGUGUAUUUCGCGUGGGCUUCGCGGGAGUAAUAACUGAAAAAUAACUAGAGUUUGCCGAUCGAUAACAUGCCUAUAGAGAUGAGGGAAUGACUCUUAUAUAUAUAAGCUAGAGCAAUAGUAAGUAUGCAUGUAAGUUGUCUAAAAUUGUGAAUUGGGUAUAGCAUGCAAUGCAUGAUGUAAACGACGUUAGCCAAAUUUGUCUAUUUGGUAAACCCUUAACACUUUGGUGUACCCAUUCAUGAGGCCUACAAGUCUCUACAUGAUUGGCUCAAAAGCCGAGUGCCGUUAGUCAAACUGCAAUCCUAAUCCCGAGCUAUACAAACUGUAUACCAAAAUCUAAACUUGACUUGACUAAAUGACAGACUAUCUGAUUUCUUCACACGAAGCUCUUUGUGCCCAUUGUAUAUUUGGUCAAAGAUUGUAGGUUUACGAUCUAUAAACUAUAUAAUUAUUACUAAUUAUAGGCUUGUUUUUUACAGGUUCGAAGAAGCAUUUAUUACCACUCACCUAAAAGGUGCAACAAAACAUUUAUGGAUAGGCAUGAACAACCUGCAUAGAUAUUAUAACUACUUCUGGGUUGAUAAUUCAAUUGUUGAUUAUUUGAAGUGGAAUACAAGGGAACCGCGGUGGGGUUCGAAUAGAUGUAUCGAGAUCGUUCCAUAUCGUUGGGCUGCUGGUCGGUGGAAUUCUGCAUAUUGUUCUAAAAUGAAUG
rnacentral:lncRNA from 1 species